GGUCGCAUAGCUCAGAGGCAGAGCGUCUGCUUUACAAUCCGGGUCGAGGCCCGCGAUAACCCGCAGCCGGUCGCAGGUUCGAUCCCUGCUGCGAUCA
rnacentral:tRNA from 1 species